rnacentral:tRNA from 1 species
GCUUCCUUCGUCCAAUGGCAGGAUCACAGCCUUCCAAGCUGAGAAUCUCGGUUCGAGUCCGAGAGGAAGCUCCA